rnacentral:pre_miRNA from 1 species
AGUAAAACUACUGGGUCAUAUGGUAAAUCUAUGUUUAACUUUGGGAAGAACUGCCAAACUGUUUCCCACAGUGACUACACUAUUUUAUAUUUCCACUAGCACU